rnacentral:lncRNA from 1 species
GAAUUAUGGGUGUGGUUGAUGCAAGAAAGAUGAAGCAGAGUUCCAACCAGGGGAUCCAUACUAGAAAUGAAGACAGUGGGUCUCCAUCAAAAUAUUGAUGAGUGAAUACAAAUAUACAUGUUUUUAAGAGACGGGGUUUCACCAUGUUAACCAGGUUGGUCUCCAUCUCCUGACCUCGUGAUCCGCCUGCUUCAGCCUCCCGAAGUGCUGGUAUUACAGGCGUGAGCCACUGCACCCAGCCAUCUCAGGAGACAUCAGUUGUGUUUCUGUAACAACAGCACCCCAAACAGUGCUUGUACGGGCCAUAUUGCCAAUCUGUACCUGCAAGGAACAAGGAGUAUAUUGUGUAGCUCAUCAAGAGGAAAAGGACAUUAUAUGUAAAACAAAUAUAAGAAGACUCUGAAAGUUGGAGAAAAGACGUUAGACCAUCUGGAGACCUUGGGAUCUGAGGAACAACAUAGCAUGUCAGUGAAGACCACAUGGGGACAUGGAAGCAGUGACAAGACCCCUCUACCCUCUCUCAGCAGUAAGAGGAGCCCCUCCCCAUCCCAGGUGUCAACAGAGGCUGAGUGGGAACCUGGACUUCUACCCCCACCUGGUAGUAACAAGACAGGCUCCACCCCUUUCUUUGCCAGAGUGGUGUUGGAAGAAGCCAAUAAAAACAAAAGGUGUAAAUGAGACUGAGCGUCUCAUAACGUGAUAUCCAAAAUGUCUAGCUUUCCAUCGAAGAUCAUAUCAAGAGCCAGGAAAAUCUCAACUUGAAUGGAAAAAGACAAUCAAUAGAUCCCAACAUCAAAAUGACAGAGAUGGCAGAAUUAUC